rnacentral:rRNA from 1 species
ACGAACGCUGGCGGCGUGCUUAACACAUGCAAGUCGAACGGAAAGGCCCUGCUUUUGUGGGGUGCUCCAGUGGCGAACGGGUGAGUAACACGUGAGUAACCUGCCCUUGACUUUGGGAUAACUUCAGGAAACUGGGGCUAAUACCGGAUAGGAGCUCCUGCUGCAUGGUGGGGGUUGGAAAGUUUCGGCGGUUGGGGAUGGACUCGCGGCUUAUCAGCUUGUUGGUGGGGUAGUGGCUUACCAAGGCUUUGACGGGUAGCCGGCCUGAGAGGGUGACCGGCCACAUUGGGACUGAGAUACGGCCCAGACUCCUACGGGAGGCAGCAGUGGGGAAUAUUGCACAAUGGGCGGAAGCCUGAUGCAGCAACGCCGCGUGCGGGAUGACGGCCUUCGGGUUGUAAACCGCUUUCGCCUGUGACGAAGCGUGAGUGACGGUAAUGGGUAAAGAAGCACCGGCUAACUACGUG